AGUUUGGGGUCAGAUGCUGAGAUUUGGGGUCAGAUGCUGAGAUUUGGGGCCGAUUGGGCUGAAUUUGGGGUCAGGUGCUGAGAUUUGGGGUCGGUUUGUGAGAGUUUGGGGUCAGGGCUGGAGAUUUAGGGUCAUUUCAUGAGAGUUUGGGGUCAGAUGCUGAGAUUUGGGGCUGAUUGGGCUGAAUUUGGGGUCAGUUCAUGAGAGUUUGGGGUCAGAUGCUGAGAUUUGGGGUCAGAUGCUGAGAUUUGGGGUCAUUUCAUGAGAGUUCGGGGUCAGAUGCUGAGAUUUGGGGUCAUUUCAUGAGAGUUUGGGGUCAGAUCCAGAGAUUUGGGGGUCACUAUGUGAGAGUUUGGG
rnacentral:lncRNA from 1 species